GACGAACGCUGGCGGCGUGCUUAACACAUGCAAGUCGAACGGAGUGGCGAACGGGUGAGUAAAAAGUGGGUGACCUGCCCUGCACUUCGGGAUAAGCCUGGGAAACUGGGUCCAAUACCGGAUAGUUGGGGAUGGGCCCGGGGCCUAUAGGCUUGUUGGUGGGGUAAUGGCCUACAAAGGCGGCGACGGGUAGCCGGCCUGAGAGGGUGGACGGCCACAUUGGGACUGAGACACGCCCCAGACUCCGACGGGAGGCAACAGUGGGGAAUAUUGCACAAUGGGCGGAAGCAUAAUGCGGCGACGCCGCGGGGGGGAUGACGGCCUUCGGGUUGGAAACUCCUUUCACCAUCGACGCGGUAGAUGGAGAAGAAGCACCGGCUAACUACGUGCCAGCAGCCGCGGUAAUUC
rnacentral:rRNA from 1 species